GGAUGGGUGGCCGAGUGGUCUAUGGCGUUAGUCUUGAAAACUAAUGAUCGAGUAAUUGGUCCGUGGGUUCGAAUCCCACCUCAUCCG
rnacentral:tRNA from 1 species